UCGUUCUCUGCGGGCGUGCAAACGUCGGAAAAAGGAGACGAAAUGGAAAUUCAUAUUGCUACAGUGCGAAGUAAAACAAAAGCACCCAGACAUUCGGGUUGUAUUUUUCAUUAUUUCUCUAAACUUUAAUUAGUCCACUGAAGCAACGUACAGAUUCAACAAAUAACUGAUGCUGCCUUGAAUCUAAGUCACGUGUCACUCUGAAUGACAUCACAGCACAGCCUGUGCUCCUACGCAGCAGCAAAGUUAUGGGCAUUCAUCUGCUUGCUGCUGCGAUAACAUUAUCACACUUGAACUCAGAGUGAUUGUUCUACAAGUGAUCAACAUCAGCUAAACAAGGGAGGCCUCUGCCUGCAGCCAGUGUUUCAACAAGAGGACUAGUUGACAAAGAUGAGUUUGUCACAACGUUGGCUCCAGCCCAAAACAUUCCUUAUUCGACUUGUAUUUACAUCUUCCUGUGAAUCUGUUUGUUGCUCCAACUCCAAUACACAAAGAUGAGUGGAA